CCGUUUAGGAACUCGGCAAAUUGGCCCCGUAACUUCGGAAGAAGGGGUGCUCUUGCUUGUCAUCCGGCUUGCCCGGAGAAGCGAACGAGAGUUGCAAUAAAGAGGCUCAGGCGACUGUUUACUAAAAACACAGGGCUCUGCGAAGUCGAAUACGACGUAUAGGGUCUGACGCCUGCCCGGUGCCGGAAGGUUAAAGAGAGGGGUUAGCCGCAAGGCGAAGCUCUGAACUGAAGCCCCGGUAAACGGCGGCCGUAACUAUAACGGUCCUAAGGUAGCGAAAUUCCUUGUCGGGUAAGUUCCGACCUGCACGAAUGGCGUAACGAUCUGAGCGCUGUCUCAACGGGGAGCACUGCGAAUUUGUGGUACCGGUGAAGACGCCGGUUGCCCGUCACAAGACGAAAAGACCCCGUGCACCUUUACUACAUCCUAGUAGUGAAUGCUGGCGCAGUAUGCGCAGGAUAGGUGGGAGGCUUUGAACUCAGGCUUUCGGGCUUGGGGGAGCCAACGGUGAGAUACCACCCUUACUGCUCCGGCGUUCUAACCUCGUUCUGUUAUCCAGAUCAGGGACACUGCUAGGUGGGUAGUUUGACUGGGGCGGUCGCCUCCUAAACUGUAACGGAGGCGCUCGAAGGUUCGCUCAGGCUUUUGGAAAUCAGCCAUAGAGUGCAAAGGCAUAAGCGAGCUUGACUGCGAGACCUACAAGUCGAGCAGGUGGGAAACCAGGACUUAGUGAUCCGGUGGUUCCGCAUGGAAGGGCCAUCGCUCAACGGAUAAAAGGUACGCCCGGGAUAACAGGCUGAUCUGAGCCAAGAGUCCACAUCGACGCUCAGGUUUGGCACCUCGAUGUCGGCUCAUCGCAUCCUGGAGCUGUAGCAGGUUCCAAGGGUCCGGCUGUUCGCCGGUUAAAGCGGUACGUGAGCUGGGUUUAGAACGUCGCGAGACAGUUCGGUCUCUAUCUGUGAUGGGCGCAGGAGAUUUGAGUGGGGCUGACCUUAGUACGAGAGGACCGGGUUGGACGAACCUCUAGUGUAUCGGUUGUCACGCCAGUGGCAGUGCCGGGUAGCUACGUUCGGAAGGGAGAAACGCUGAAGGCAUCUAAGCGUGAAACCCUCCACGAGAUGAGAUCUCCCAGGGCAUAAGCCCUCUGAAGGCUCCUGGUAGACGACCAGGUUGAUAGGCCAGGUGUGGAAGCGCAGCGAUGCGUUAAGCUAACUGGUACUAAUUAGCCGUGAGGCUUGACCG
rnacentral:rRNA from 1 species